rnacentral:lncRNA from 1 species
UAAAAAUGUCAACCAGAUGCUCCGCAGGGUGCAGCUUUAUACGACCGCAGAGGUCGAACCCUAAAGUUGGGGCUAGCAUGGACACAACAUUCAAGCUUGAUACAGCUCUGAAUUUGGAUUUUGAUUAAAUAGUUGACACAGCAUAGGUUUCUGACACAGAAUGAAUGUGGUCUAAUGAACUUAAAUUUUGUUUUUUUUUGCUUUUGAGCAAUUCACUUUGCUGUUGAAUAUUAAUCCUCUCUCAAAAAAAAAUUUAAUUUCUGAAAUCUGAAAUGAGAAAAAUUGAACCCCCCUUUUUUUCACCUCCUCCUUUCCCCUAUUCCAACAAUGAUCUCAAUUCAAAUUUCUAAUGGAGUUUGCAACAAUAACUAAUUUGAAUACAUUAUAAAAUAUUAAAAUCUAAAAUGUCAUACAGUCAUGGUUAAAAUUAAUAUCAAUUAAUAGUAACUUCUAAAAAAAUAAAUGGGGUAUGUGUCCAAAGGUGAUGAUGCCCCCGCUAGCAUAUAACGUUAUAAAAGGACAUAACUCAAGAACUGGAAAAGUGAAGCUGCCAAAAAUUGAACUUAAACUGAGUUUAGAGGUAAUAAGCAUUAUAUACACAUUUCAUUAAAUUUAGUUGAGACAAACUUAUGUUAAGAGAACAGAAACUAAAAAAUUCUUCAAUUUUUAUACGACCCCAAAAAAAAUUUGGGAUCGUAUAAUGGCAUGAUUUCGUCGUUGUCGUCCGAAGACACAUUGGUUUCUGGAUAAGAACUUUAGUCAAAGUGAAUAGAUCUUCAUGAAAUUUUUCAGAAGGUUCAAUACCACAAAAGGAAGGUUGGGAUUGAUUUUGGAGAUGAUGGUCCCAACCGAUUAGGAAUUGGGGGCCAAAAGGGGCCCAAAACAAGCAUUUUUCUAGUUUCAUGAUAAUAACAUGUGUAGAAGUAUUUCAAUUGCUCUGAAAUCAUACCGCAAUGUUUAAAACCACAAGUAGAAGGUUUGGAUUCAUUUUAGGGGUUAUGGGGCCAAAGUUUUGGAAUUAAGGGACAAAAAGUGGUCAAAACAAGCAUUUUUCUAGUUUCAUUUCAAUAACUUAUGUGUAAUUGUAUGGAUCUCUCUGAAAUUGUACCACAAUGUACCAUAUAACAAAGGGAGGCUGGGAUUAAGUUUUGGGUUAAUUGCCCAAAUAUGUAGGAAUUAGGGGCCAAAAAGAAGCAAGUUUCUAGUUUCCAAACAAUCAUGACAAUAACUUUGUUUUUUAAGUGUAUGGAUCUCUCUGAAAUUGUACUACAAGGUUCAAUACUGCAAUGGAAAGCAUGGGAUUGAGUUUAAGGGUUAUUGCUCCAAGGGGGUUUCAAAAAGUUGUGGGUUUUUUUUUUUGUUUACCAUUUUUUGAAGGGCUUCCUUUUUUCAAAAUUUUUCAAAUUUCGAAUUUUGAAAAGUUUCAAGAAGAAAUCUUCAAUUGCACAGUAUUGUGCAAUAGAUUUGUUAGAUCUUUGACCACAUUAAUUUUGUGACAAAAACCUAUAUUAUGUAAAAAAUUUGAUCACAAUCCAAAUUCAGACAGAAUCAAGCUUGAAUAUUGUGACCAAAUUUGCCCCAACUGUUCAAGGUUCAACCACUGGGGUCGUAUAAAGCUGCGCCCUGGUUCCAUUUGUAAAGGGGCAUAACCCUAGAAUGGUAAUCAAAGUGCUUGUAAUCACUGAAUGGUAAAGAUUGCUUUAAUUUAUCAGUUGGUAGUAAAGUGAAUAUUGUCAUUUAUAUUGUAUAUAGCAUUGAUUUAAGUUGAUUCAACUACUAUUCUGGACAAAGAAAGAUAACUCCAAUUUUCAAAGAUUUCAUAAAGCAUUGGUUUUAGAUGAUUCAACAACCAUUCUGGACAAAAGAAAGAUAACUCCAAUUUAUUGUCUUGAAACUACAAAAAUGCUUGUUUUUGGCCCUUUAUUCCUAGACUGUUUGCCCCAUAACCCACAAAAUAUAUCCCAACCUUCUACUUAUGGUAUUAAACAUUGUGGUACAAUUUCAGAACAAUUGAAAUGCUUAUACACACCUUUUUGAACUGACACUAGAUAAAUGUUUGUGUUGGGCCCCUAAUUCCUAAACCUUAGGGACCAUAAGCCCCAAAAUCAAUCCCAAGCUUCCUUUUGUGGUUAUAAACAUUGUGUUAAAUUUUUUUCUAUUUCUAUUUACUAAUAAUAAAGUUAUUAUCUGGAAACCAUCCGUCUUCGGACGACGCUGACGACGACGUGAUACCAAUAUACGACCGCAAAAUUUUUGCGGUCGUAUAAAAAUUGGGGUACAGCUGUCAAAAUUAUGUUAUAACUUCAACUAUUACAUACACUUAACCUGAUCCAAGAAAAUGUGAUCAAGGUCAUAUAAACCCAUCUUUAAAUACAUUUACACUUUACCAUCAUUCAUAACACCAAAUGUGCAUGAAAUACAGUUGACCUAUUGCACAUCUUGGAAAAGAUCUUAAACAGGAAAACUUAACAUUGGUCAAUAAAUCAUGAAAAUCAGGCCAAGGUCAUAUGAAUCCUGCCAGACAGACAUGUUCAACUUACAAUGCAUAUAGUAUCUAAGAGACCCACAUGUAACCAAGAAAACUUAAGAUUGACCAAUGAACCAUGAUAAUGAGGUCAUGGUCAGGAGGUAAUUGCUAGAAAGACAUACCAACGAAGUCAAUCAUUUGCAUUGAUAGUUGUAUGACCAAAAUGUAGUUGACCUAUUUGUAAAAGAAGAAGAAAAAAAGAUAUCCAUAUGAUGAAGACAUAAUCUUUAUCAGUUUAAUUGAGGUCUGCAGCUGGCAUGUCAGUAACUGCUAGUAGUCCUUUGUUAAUUUAUGUAUCAUUGUCAUUUUGUUUAGUUUCUUUUGUUACCUAUUCUGACAUCAGACUUUUUUUAAACUGAGUUUCACUGUGUGUUUUGCUGUGCAUUUGUUUUUUCUACAUUGGCUAGCUAUAUAUAUAUAUAUAUAUAUAGAGGUAUAGGGGAAGGGUCGAGAUCUCAAAAAACAUGGUUUACACCCCUCCAUUUUUGCACCUGUCCUAAGUCAGGAGCCUCUGGCCUUUGUUAAGUCUUGUAUGUUUUUUUCAUUUUUGUUCAUUGAUAUGUUUUGUAGUUUAGUAUGACUUCCAUUUCCACUGAACUAGUAUACUUUUUUCAUUAAGGGGCCAGCUGAGGACCACCUCCAGGUGCAGGAUUUUCUCACUGCAUUGAAGACCCAUUGGUGGCCUUUGGCUGUUUUCUGCUCUUUGAUUGUGUUGGGUGUCCCUUUGACACAUUCCCCGUUUCAAUUCUCAAUUUUACAAAACAUAAACUUAACAUUGAACAAUGAAACGCAAAAAUGAAGUUUGCCAGACUGACAUGUACACCGCAACACCAAUACACCAAUUAUAGUUGACCUAUUGCAUACAGUAUUUGAAAAGAACUAAACAUGAGAUCAAGAUCAGAUGACAUCUGCCAGUUAGACAUGUGAACCUUACAAUCAUUCCAUACAACAAAUAAAGUUGACUAUUUGCAUACAGUAUUAGAACCAGAUGCUCCGCAGGGCGUAGCUUUAUACGACCGCAGAGGUUGAACCCUGAACGGUUGGGGCAAGUAUGGACACAACAUUCAAGCUGGAUUCAGCUCUAAAUUUGGAUUGUGAUUAAAUAGUUGACACAGCAUAGGUUUCUGACACAGAAUGAAUGUGUUCUAAUGAACUUAAAAAUUUUUGUUUUCUCUUAGAGCAAUUCACUAUGCUGUUGAAUAUUAAUCCUCUCAAAAAAAUGUUUGAAGAAAUUUUCUUUUUUAUUUAUGAAAUUUCAAAUGAGAAAAAUUGAACCCAAUUUUUUUAAUCACAUCCCCCUUUCCCUUAUUCCAAAACUAAUCUCAAUUAAAAUUUCUAAUGGAGUUUGCAACAAUAACUACUCAUUUAAAUACAUCAUAAAAUAUUAAGAUGUAAAAAAACUGCUUGUUAUCACUGAAUGGUAAAGAUUAUUUUAAUUUAUCAGUUGGUAGUAAAAAGUGAAUAUACAUUGUAUAUUG